rnacentral:tRNA from 1 species
GGGCACGUAGCUCAGUGGUUUAGAGCACCGCCAUUAAUGCCCGGGUUCGAAUCCCGCCGAGUCCA